AUGCCAAUUAAUUUAACUUGGGAGUCAGAACAUGGGUGAUAAGGUCCGUGUUCGAAAGGGAAACAGCCCAGACCACCAGCUAAGGUCCCAAAAUAUAUGUUAAGUGGAAAAGGAUGUGGCGUUGCCCAGACAACUAGGAUGUUGGCUUAGAAGCAGCCAUCAUUUAAAGAGUGCGUAAUAGCUCACUAGUCGAGUGACACUGCGCCGAAAAUGUACCGGGGCUAAACAUAUUACCGAAGCUGUGGAUUGUCCUUUGGACAAUGGUAGGAGAGCGUUCUAAGGGCGUUGAAGCAUGAUCGUAAGGACAUGUGGAGCGCUUAGAAGUGAGAAUGCCGGUGUGAGUAGCGAAAGACGGGUGAGAAUCCCGUCCACCGAUUGACUAAGGUUUCCAGAGGAAGGCUCGUCCGCUCUGGGUUAGUCGGGUCCUAAGCUGAGGCCGACAGGCGUAGGCGAUGGAUAACAGGUUGAUAUUCCUGUACCACCUAUAAUCGUUUUAAUCGAUGGGGGGACGCAGUAGGAUAG
rnacentral:rRNA from 1 species